CGGGUGCAUGAGAACUUGCAAUACAGGAGCUGAACCAGUGAGGGUCCCAGGGUGCUUCUCAGAGAAGGUGAUAAUGAGAUGUAGUUCUCACCUGAAAGAAAGCAGCAGGGAACUGUGGUGGGCAGGGCUGCAGAGCAGAGGAGGGGAUUCGUGCUCAAGGAAACAGCAACAGUGCCGGGGAGGCGUGAAAGCAUCCAGAAUACUAAUGCUCAAAACAUGCCAAAAAACAAGGAGCAACAAAACAAUGGAAAUGUGCAGUGGUAGCUCAGCUCCAGGAUGGCCCCCUCCAGGGUGGACAACAGCGUUUCCCGUUCUGGGGAGGCACUAAAUCAGAAUGCCCUGUGACAACCACUGGUGAUGUGAGGACUGACACCAUGCGCCACCCCUGCCCUUAAUUAACUGCAUCCACACACAGCACAACGUGGAUAUCCAUCUCCUCGGAUGAGCCAUUUCCCUCCCGGAGCAGUCUGUGCCAAUGCCCAUCUUAAAGUACGCACUCCAGAAGAUUCAACAAGCUCUGACUCUGGUCUGGCCAUCAAAGAAAGAAAGAUGACUGCCUGGCAUUGCUCACAUAGCAUGUGCCUCCAUACACUCCACCGGAUGCUAUAUAGCCAUUAAAUCGAUCAUUACUCUUUAAUCAAUGAGAAGAGUUGGACUCCUUUGUUUUACAGUCCAAAUUCCUCUUAACAUGCCCCAACUUCAUUGACAUAAUUUUCCUUAUUAA
rnacentral:lncRNA from 1 species